UGGGGAAUCUUGCACAAUGGGGGAAACCCUGAUGCAGCGACGCCGCGUGAACGAUGAAGCCCUUCGGGGUGUAAAGUUCUUUCGACGGGGACGAUAAUGACGGUACCCGGAGAAGAAGCUGCGGCUAACUACGUGCCAGCAGCCGCGGUAAUACGUAGGCAGCAAGCGUUGUUCGGAAUUACUGGGCGUAAAGAGUGCGUAGGUGGUUGGCCAAGUUUGGUGUGAAAUCUCCCGGCUUAACUGGGAGGGUGCGCCGAAAACUGGUUGACCAGAGUGUGGGAGAGGGACGUGGAAUUCCUGGUGUAGCGGUGAAAUGCGUAGAUAUCAGGAGGAACACCUGCGGUGUAGACGGCGUCCUGGACCAUGACUGACACUGAGGCACGAAAGCGUGGGGAGCAAACA
rnacentral:rRNA from 1 species